AGACAGACAGACAGACACGCAGACAGGCAGACAGACAGGCAGACAGGGCAGACACACAGACAGGCAGACACGCAGGCAGGUAGACACGCAGAGGCAGACACGCAGACAGGCAGACACGCAGGCAGGUAGACACGCAGACAGGUAGACACGCAUACUGACGGACACACAGACAGACAGGCAGACAGGUAGACAGCCGGACACGCGGCAGGUAGACAGGCAGACACGCAGACAGGUAGACAGGCAGACAGCUGGACAUGCGGACAGGUAGACAGGCAGACAGUUAGAGAGGUAGACAGGCAGACACGCAGACAGGUAGACAGGCAGACACGCAGACAAGCAGACACGCAGACAGGUAGACAGGCAGACAGCCGGACACGCGGACAGGUAGACAGGCGGGCACGGAGACUGACGGACACGCAGACACACAGACAGGCCUCCAGAGUGGCGCCGUGGUCUAAGGCACUGCAUCACAGUGCUAGCUGUGUCACUAGAGAUUCUGGGUUCCAGUCCAGGCUCUGUUGCAGCUGGCCGGCAGGGAUGUCCUUGUUCCAUAGCGCACUAGCGACUCCUGGGUGCAGUGCAUGGUCGCCAGGUGUACAUUGUUUCCUCCAACACAUUGGUGCGGCUGGCUUCCGGGUUAAGUGGGCAUUGUGUCAAGAAGCAGUGCGGCUUGGUUGGGUUGUGUUUCGGAGGACGCACGGCUCUCGACCUUCACCUCACCCGAGUCCGUAUGGGAGUUGCAGCGAUGAGACAAGACUGUAACUACCAAUUGGAUACCACGAAAAGGGGGUAAAAAAUAUAUAUGUUAAAAGGCAGGCAGAUAGAUGGACAGGCAGGCGGGCAGGCAGGUAGACAUUCAUCAUAUAUGGCUUCCUCUAUGUAUUAACUGCAUGUUUCUAUAGCAGACCACAGACAGACAGGCAGGCAGACAGACAGGCAGACAGAUAGGCAGACAGACAGACAGGCAGACAGAUAGGCAGACAGAUAGGCAGAUAGAUGGAUGGACAGAUGGAGAGGAAGAUAUGCAGACAGGCAGAUAAACGAACAGACAGACGGACGGACGGGCAGGCAGGCAGAUAGAUGGACAGACAGAUAGACAGGCAGACAGGCAGAUAUGCAGACAGACAGGAAAAAUUUCAGGCAGACAGACAGAGACAGACAGACAGAUUCUUCUUGGACCUCGCUCAUCAACAAACUGUUUUCUGAGAUACUGAAUUUGGCGCGCUUGGCACAUAGUUUUGCCCAUUCUAACAUUCAGUUGAACAGUAACUGAAUGCCUCGAUGCCUGCUUUAUAUAGCAAGACACAGCCACACAACUCACUGUCUGUAACCCAGUUUUGUGAAAUGGGCGGCGGACCUAAUAAACUGGCCGGAGAGUGUAUAUCAUCGAUACAUGAAUAUAACAGUAUAUAUAGCAUGUUAACAUGGGGAUAUAUACAGUAUCAUCUAUACAUGAAGAUAACAGUAUACAGUAUAUGGGUCGAGUGUUGGUUUCUUGAGGAGAGGAGCGACUCGGGCCAUCUUGAAGUCAGUGGUCAGGGAUGAGUUGAUGAGUGAAGUGAGGAAGGGGAGGUCUCCAGAGAUGGUGUGGAGAAGGGAGGAGGGGAUGGGGAUGAGUUGAUGAGGGAAGUGAGGAAGAGGAGGUCUCCAGAGAUGGUGUGGAGAAGGGAGGAGGGGAUGGGGAUGAGUUGAUGAGGGAAGUGAGGAAGAGGAGGUCUCCAGAGAUGGUGUGGAGAAGGGAGGAAGGGUUGAGCAGGCAGGAUGUCGGGCGGACGGACAUCACUAGUCGCAGGAUUUUAUCUGGAGAGAGAGGGGAGAAAGAGGCCAAAGCGUAAGGUAGUUCUGUGUGAGUGGGAUCAGUGGACUCAAUAGGCUGAGUGAAUGAGGAGCGGCUGGCGUCAACCUAUUCCCUAUAGUGAGCACUAUUACAACACUAUAGUCAAUUACUUUGGGCCAAAGUCUCCCAAAGCUGUCUAAUACAUCUGGUCUAAAGUAGUGCACUAUGAAGGGAGUAGGGUUCCAUAGGACUCUGGUCUAAAGUAGUGCACUAUGAAGGGAGUAGGGUUCCAUAAGACUCUGGUCUAUAGUAGUGCACUAUGAAGGGAACAGGGCUCUAGUCUAUAGUAGUGCACUAUGAAGGGAACAGUGCUCUGGUCUAAAGUAGUGCACUAUGAAGGGAACAGGGCUCUGGUCUAUAGUAGUGCACUAUGAAGGGAACAGGGCUCUGGUCUAUAGUAGUGCACUAUGAAGGGAACAGGGCUCUGGUCUAUAGUAGUGUACUAUGACAGGGAACAGGGCUCUGGUCUAAAGUAGUGCACUAUGAAGGGAACAGUGCUCUGGUCUAUAGUAGUGCACUAUGAAGGGAACAGGGCUCUGGUCUAAAGUAGUGCACUAUGAAGGGAACAGGGCUCUGGUCUAUAGUAGUGUACUAUGAAGGGAACAGGGCUCUGUAGAGGAGUUUGGUGCCAUUUUAGAUUGGCCCUGUGUGUAUGCAACAUGAUAUAUCUAAUGAUGUUAGAUUAUCUAUAUUAGUGUAAUUUAUGUUAUUUUAUCUAUAUUAAUGUAAAUUAUACUGUAUGAUGUAAAUGUCUCUGAAAAUAAACUGCCUGAUCCUAAAAGAACCAAUAAAAACCCAGAUGACAAAGCUCUCUGUCUCUCUAGAGCUCUAUGUAGAAUACCAGACCCAACCAUAAACCUCUAGACCAGGAGGAGACAAUCCUGUAGAGUACCAGACCUAACCAUAACCCUGUAGAGUACCAGACCUAACCAUAACCCUCUAGACCAGGAGGCGACAACCCUGUAGAGUACCAGACCUAACCAUAAACCUCUAGACCAGGAGGAGACAAUCCUGUAGAGUACCAGACCUAACCAUAACCCUGUAGAGUACCAGACCUAACCAUAACCCUGUAGAGUACCAGACCUAACCAUAACCCUGUAGAGUACCAGGCCUAACCAUAACCCUGUAGAGUACCAGGCCUAACCAUAACCCUCUAGACCAGGAGGAGACAAUCAUGUAGAGUACCAGGCCUAACCAUAACCCUCUAGACCAGGAGGAGACAACCCUGUAGAGCACCAGACCUAACCAUAAACCUCUAGACCAGGAGGAGACAAACCUGUAGAGUACCAGACCUAACCAUAACCCUGUAGAGUACCAGACCUAACCAUAACCCUAACCAUAACCCUGUAGAGUACCAGACCUAACCAUAACCCUAACCAUAACCC
ensembl:lncRNA